rnacentral:ncRNA from 1 species
UGUCAACGCAAGGAGGGCCGGUUAUGGGAAUAACACAUUCGUUGAAUGUCCUCAUGAUAAGUGCAGCGUUCGUAUUCGUUGCAACCAUGCUUUUUAUCUAAAGCAUCCGCAAAUAGUC